GACAGAGGAUGCAAGCGUUAUCCGGAAUGAUUGGGCGUAAAGCGUCUGUAGGUGGCUUUUUAAGUCUGCCGUCAAAUCCCAGGGCUUAACCCUGGACAGGCGGUGGAAACUACCAAGCUGGAGUAUGGUAGGGGCAGAGGGAAUUCCUGGUGUAGCGGUGAAAUGCGUAGAGAUCAGGAAGAACAUCGGUGGCGAAGGCGCUCUGCUGGACCAUAACUGACACUCAGGGACGAAAGCUAGGGGAGCGAAUGGG
rnacentral:rRNA from 1 species